rnacentral:rRNA from 1 species
AACGAACGCUGGCGGCAGGCUUAACACAUGCAAGUCGAGCGCCCCGUAAGGGGAGCGGCAGACGGGUGAGUAACGCGUGGGAAUCCACCCAUCCCUACGGAAUAGCUCCGGGAAACUGGAAUUAAUACCGUAUACGCCCUACGGGGGAAAGAUUUAUCGGGGAUGGAUGAGCCCGCGUUGGAUUAGCUAGUUGGUGGGGUAAAGGCCUACCAAGGCGACGAUCCAUAGCUGGUCUGAGAGGAUGAUCAGCCACAGUGGAACUGAGACACGGUCCACACUCCUACGGGAGGCAGCAGUAGGGAAUUUUGCGCAAUGGGCGAAAGCCUGACGCAGCGACACCGCGUGGAGGAUGAAGGUUUUCGGAUCGUAAACUCCUUUUGGCAGGGAAGAAUUUUGACGGUACCUGCAGAAUAAGCACCGGCUAACUACGUGCCAGCCGCCGCGGUAA